UCUAGUUUUAUUGUACAAAUUGCAGAUCCAUUUCCCCUCAACAUUGCUGCUUUCUGCUGAAGGGUCACUCGACCCGAAACACAAACUGUGUGACCCUCGCUCAGAAAUCUGAUCUCUCUGCACAGAUGCUGCCAGACCUGCUGAGUUUUUCCAGCAAUUUCUGGUUUUGUUUCUGAUUUCCAGCAUUCGCAGUUCUCUUUCGGUUUUCACAAGAGUUCACCAGCAGGGGACAGGAGAUAUUCAGGUUUCUGUAGCUUGGGGACGGUACAGCUCCGGUUACCAUCGCCCUGUGCUCUCGGUAGCCUCGCUGGCGGCUUGUAGUGAGAGCUCUUUGUUGUCGGUUCUGUCUGCCGAUGGCUGGCUCGGUGCAGGAACACAGUGUGUCACUGGUCUUUGUGAACGAGGAUCAGAAAGGAGGGUUCCAGUUCGCUCACUCCCCGGAGAGCCAACAGCCCCUUAAACUGGAAAUGAAAGCAGAGGAGGAAGGAGCGGCUCUGCGUCUGAUUGACCGAAAUGGAGCUUGCGUAUUCAAGUGUUCCAUGAACCAUGAGACGGAAAGUUGUCGUGUGGGGAAACAGACCUUUCUCAUUACAGUGGGAUGCAGCAGUGUGCUACUUCAGUUUCAAUCAAUAAAUGAGUUUUUUACCUUUUACAAUUCCUUAAAUAUGUUUAAAAACUCCAAUAAAGCUUGUUCAGCAUUUAGCCAACGAACAGAAGAUGCAUCUGCAAUACAGUAUUUCCAGUUUUAUGGUUGUUUAUCACAACAACAGAACAUGAUGCAAGACUAUAUAAAGACAGCUACUUAUCAAAAGGCAAUGCUUCAGAAUCAUGAUGAUUUUAAUGGUAAGGUUGUUCUUGACGUGGGAUGUGGGUCAGGAAUCCUCUCGUUCUUCGCAGUUCAAGCAGGAGCUAGGAAAGUCUACGCUGUGGAGGCCAGCUCAAUGUCAAAAUAUGCAGAGAUUCUAGUGAGAAGUAACAAUCUUUCAGAACGGGUAAUGGUUCUGGAAGGGAAAAUCGAGGAAAUUACUAUUCCUGAGAAAGUGGACAUCAUUAUUUCAGAACCUAUGGGAUAUUUGUUAUUUAAUGAGAGGAUGCUCGAAAGCUACCUCCAUGCAAAGAAGUGGUUGAAACCAAAUGGGAUGAUGUUUCCUACUUUUGGUGAUGUUCAUCUUGCUCCGUUUUCUGAUGAGCAGCUUUACAUGGAACACUACACAAGGGCAAAUUUCUGGUACCAGCAGUGUUUCCAUGGGAUUAAUUUGACCGGCCUUUGCAGUGCAGCUAUGGAAGAGUACUUCAGUCAGCCAAUCGUAGAUACCUUUGAUGUUGUCAUUUUGAUGGCACGGUCUGUCAAGUACACGGUGAAUUUCCUGCAGUCCGAUGAGGAUGAUUUGCAUCGAAUGGAGAUCCCCUUCGUCUUCCAGAUUCUUCAGUCUGGACCUGUCCAUGGCUUAGCAUUUUGGUUUGAUGUGGCAUUUGUGGGUACACAAAAAACAGUCUGGCUGUCGACAUCUCCUGCUGAACCCCUCACCCACUGGUAUCAAGUGCGAUGCCUCCUACAAACACCACUGAUUGCCAAAGAAGGUGAAACAUUUUCAGGGAAGGUCUUAUUCGUGGCCAAUAAACGACAAAGCUAUGAUAUUCACAUUAUGGGUAUGGUGGACCAAACUGGCUUCAAGUCUGGAAACCUCCUAGACUUAAAGAAUCCUUUUUUCAGGAAGCCCUAUUUCAAACACGCUUGAUGCAUGGCACUACAACUGAAUCAAAAACAUUGUCAAUAAUUGAGGACUGCACUUUUCCAUCCAAAUGAAUGGACUUUUCAAAAAGUUUUUAUGAAUGAAUCCUUGUGAAAAAUCCCUCUCUAAACUGACACCAGCAUAUCUACCAACAAGAUACUCAGGUGACCCAUAGGAGCAGGACUGCAAUGCAACAACUAGACUCAGAUGUUUUUGUGAUGCCUCCAAGUUGCAUUAAUCCCUCUUAUAGAACAUUUUAACAAUUUGUAUUAAAGAAUAAAUGAACACACAUUGUGUGAAUUGAAGUAGUUUCUCUGCGAAAUAUCAAAUAACGUCUGAAAUCUUCAAUCAAAAGCGGCCAACCAAACCAUCCAUCAACAACUGCAAAGCAGAGAAAUAAUGUAAUAAUCAUGUAGAUAUUUAUAAUUGUAGCCAUGUUCAUGUGCCUGUGCAUGUAGACAGUGGUUGGUACCCAUAGAAGUUCAGAUCUGAUCAAAAAUAUUAUGUAAAAAGGACAGUCUUAACAAGCUGGACAGUAAUGUAACAAUUUUAUUUCAACUUUCAUAAUAAUAGAUAAAUUAUAUUGAGAAAAUGCUUUAGAGCAAACAUCAUGAUAAUCAAAUAUUUAAUAGGUAUGGCUUAUUUAUAUCUUUGCAUUCUAUGUAAUAUAUUGGACAUUUGUAGCUAUAUUACAGUGGAAAAUAUGUGCUGUAUAGCUCUUAGCGUAGAAUUAUUAACUUCUUUAAUUAACUUUACACUCAGUAAAAUGGGGGAUGUCACUGCAAGGGGAUGCGACAUAUUUUGUCAUCCAGUGCAACAAACUUAUUCCUGGGUUGGAUGCUAUAGAGUAAAUGUACUCUUUCCCAACAAUGAACAACAACCUGAAGGUCAGAGGAGUACCAGCUAGAAACCAAACCAGCCUUUCUUGCAGUAUGCUUAACUGAGACGGCUAGUUUAGUCCUAACUUUUGCCAGGUUAUGGGUGAUUUUAUCAUGGCAGCCAUGAGAAGAGAAAGGCCAAUCUGCUACCAAACUCUGUAUCAAAUUAUUGAUGCUCUUUAUUAUUAUUAGUAUUUUCAAAAGCUGUUCAAAUGUUACCAGUUCACCCACUUCCAAAUCAAAGCAAUCAGUCAAAUUUAUUGUUAUUUUUCUUAGACUGUAUUUGUAAAAGGAAAAUCAUGACUUCAAGCCAAUAAUUUGAAGUCAGUAUUGAUGAAUGAGGUUUUGAGAAUAUUGGACGUGUUCUGUUUAAUUUUGCAGAGAUGCCUAGAAACCAUGCUUUGUAAUGCUUUGUAAUUCAUACAGCCAAAACAAGGUCAUGAGACAUCUGCACGGUCCCGAUCCUAAAAGGCUCCAGGCCAAGUGCUAGUUCUGAUGGUGCGCGUGUAAGGGUUUUGAAGAUCUGCUGGGUUUUCCUUCCAAAGGAUUGUUCCCCUUGUUUUCUACUGAAAACACCGUUCUGCUUUACAAUCUGAGUUUCCUAGAAUGUCAGCAUGUUUAAAGAAAGCUAUUCAGACUUGCAACUUGUUGUACAUGAACUCAAAAUACAGAAUUUAAGGGAGAUAUUUUCUCGUGUGUAGGACAAAAAUUGUUAGAGGUGAAAACUAAACUCUUGCAUGUAUGACACUAUGUUUCUUGUAUUAUUUAAAGAAUGGAGGAUCACUAUUAUGACACUGAAGCCAGUAGACAUGAAAUAAAUGCAGCAGGAAUCGGUCCAGUUAAUAUAAUCACUUUUGUAACAAACCUCUGUUAGUGGCAGGCCAGCACCCUACUGCUUACUGAAUAACAUUGGGUGAUAUCAGUAAUGUAACAUCUCAUUUGAACUGAAUGAUAUGUGAGAAAGCUACCUCAUACCAAUGGCUUUUGCUUGUAUCAUCAAACAGAAAGAAAAUAAAUUCCAACAUUGCCUUA